UACGUAGGGGGCGAGCGUUGUCCGGAUUUAUUGGGCGUAAAGAGCGUGUAGGCGGUUCGGUAAGUCUGGCGUGAAAUCCUGAGGCUCAACCUCGGGCGUGCGAUGGAUACUGCCGGGUUAGAGGGUGGUAGAGGCGAGUGGAAUUCCCGGUGUAGCGGUGAAAUGCGCAGAUAUCGGGAGGAACACCAGUAGCGAAGGCGGCUCGCUGGGCCACACCUGACGCUGAGACGCGAAAGCUAGGGGAGCGAACAGG
rnacentral:rRNA from 1 species